rnacentral:rRNA from 1 species
UACGUAGGGGGCGAGCGUUGUCCGGAUUUAUUGGGCGUAAAGAGCUCGUAGGCGGCUUAGCAAGUCGGGUGUGAAAACUCCAGGCUCAACCUGGAGACGCCACUCGAGACUGCUAUGGCUAGAGUCCGGUAGGGGACCACGGAAUUCCUGGUGUAGCGGUGAAAUGCGCAGAUAUCAGGAGGAACACCGGUGGCGAAGGCGGGUCUCUGGACAGUUCCUGACGCUGAGGCACGAAGGUCAGGGGAGCAAACGGG